CGCAAAGACACAUAGACACAGAGGGAAGACAGCCGUGUGAUGAUGCAUACACAUUGGAGUUAUGCUGCCACAAGCCAAGGAAUGCCUGGGGGUAUAAGAGCCAAAGGCAACUUUUUGGAGAGCAAAUAGUAUGCCACCUGCCUGUUCAAAUGUGCAAUGGUUUUCCGAAGUUCUCAAAGUAAAGCCUGAAAUCCCCAACUUGGCCUAGAAGUCCGGAAUACUUCUGAAACAAACUCUUCCUUCCUGUCCUCUGCCUGUAGCAGAAAAUAGACAAGCCAAGCAGAUGUCCAGAGAUGGCGGAGGAGUACCUCGGCUGCAGCUUCCUUGAGAGAAAACAAACUCAAGGGAGCCUUGGGGGCUGGGGGCAACCAAGUCAUGAAGCAUUUUAUUUCAGAAAAGAAGGGAUAAGAGAAAAGCCAUGGAGACAGGGCCUCUUUCUGCCCCCCAGUCUGGAGGGCAGUGGAGCAAACUCUUGGGUUCAAGCCAUCCUCCUGCCUCAGCUUCCUGAGUAGCUGGGAUUACAGGAAUGUGCCAUAGUACCUGGCAUAUUCUCUUUUUUUUUAAAAGUUGAGAGGUAUUUUUUACAGGUUUGGUGUGGUAACUGUUUGUGUUAACCCAUUUUGUACUGCUGUAACAGAAUAGAACAGACUGAGUAAUUUAUAAUGAACAAAAAUGUAUUGGCUCAUGGUUCUGGAGGCUGGGAAGUACAAGGUUGAGGGGCUGGCACCUUGCAAGGGCCUUCUUGCUACAUCAUCCUAGGGAGGAAGGGCAAAGGGUGGGAUGAGAGGGAGGGAGACAGAAAGAAAGGGCAGGAGAGAGGGAGAGAGAGAAGGAAAGUGAGAGAGAGAGAGAGAGAAAGAAAAAAGAGAGAGAGAAAGAAAGAGAAAAAAGAGAGAAGAGAGAGAGAGAUUGAGAACAGAGAGCCAAACUUAUCCUUUUGGAAACCACUUCUGAAAUAACAGCAUUAAUCUAUUCAUGAGGGCAGGGCCCCCACAGUCUAAUUAUCUCUUAAAGUUCCCACCUUUCAAUACUGUUACAAAGGAAAUUAAAAUUUAACAUAAGUUUGAGAGGGUACAAACAUUCAAACCAUAGAACCCUACAAAAAUCUCACAGACCUAGACUUAUUUCUUGCUGUUCUGCCUUCUGUUCUCAAGGUCACAAGAGGGCUGAUAGAGCUGUAA
rnacentral:lncRNA from 10 species